AUUUAUGUCAAAGAAGUUUGAUGGUGUAAUAGGCACGUCGUCAAGCCUCAUCUGUCGUCAAAUAAAUUUGAUCAAAUUUAGGGCCUCGCUGUAGAUCAUAAAAGUCUCUUGUCUUCUGUUCACUGCAAUGUGACAUAUUACCACGUGGAGCGCUAGCAUUCUGUAGUGACUAGUGUGUCUAUGUCUGUAAGUGUAAACUGUAAAGUGUAAACAUGGCCGAAAAAUACAAUUGGUGUGUACCGUCAACUACAAAAUUAAUAUAGAUGUGUGAAGCUGACGAGGCGAUUUACAACGUGAGGCACCCUGAAUACAAAAAUAGAUUAAGAAGAUGAGAGAGCUAUAAAAAUAUUGCAGAGAUAAUUAGCCGUGAGAUACGGCGUGGUUGCACGGCAGUAGACAUUAAGAAGAAAAUUAAUUUCAUCCGCGCACCCACGAGAAAGCAAAAAUGCUUAUAAGCUUUAUAUUCCGCAAGUGUACUGGUUCCACAUGCUAAAGUGGAGCAAUGUCGAGAGUUCGGAAAGUGGCAGUGAACGUGGUACACCAACGUUCGAAGAAAUGUUUGAGCAUGAAAUGCAGGCUCAAGAAGAGCCUGUUGUCACAUGCAGUGAGGCACAGCCACAGCUCCAGCAUUAAGAGCUCUCCCACAAAGAGAAGGCACAACCGAUUAAUUUUGUAGUUUCUUGACUCAAAAUGUAAUUGAUUUGUUUAUAAAAUAAAAAUAGUU